GACUGGCUGGUUGCUAGAGGUGCGUGCGGCCACUGCGAACUCGUACUUCUUCCCCUGUACAUGGUGGCAUGCUGGAGAACUUGACAGUCUUGGAUCUCUUUUGCACUGCUGGCGUACCUUGUUUUCUCACGUGAGAUCGGCACCAUCACAGUUCGAAAAUCGACGAAAUUCGAGGUUUUAGCAGGCCGGCGACCAAACAGAGAGGGGACGUCGUGCCACGAAUUCAUUCAUAAAUGAAACUAGAAUCUUUUCUGAAUCGGACAGUGUAAACGGCUCGUCCGAGGUACUCCUACAGACUGACUGGCUGGUUGCUGAAGGUGCGUGCGGCCACUGCGAACUCGUACUUCUUCCCCUGUACAUGGUGGCAUGCUGGAGAACUUGACAGCCUUGCAAGGGAUCUCUUUUGCACUGCUGGCGUACCUUGUUUUCUCACGUGAGAUCGGCACCAUCACAGUUCAAAAGUCGACGAAAUUCGAGGUUUUAGCCGGCCGGCGACCGAACAGAGAGGGGACGUCGUGCCACGAAUUCAUUCAUAGAUGGUAACUCGCAGGCACGACAAAUCUUUUUUUUUUACUGGGACCUCACAAAGUGUUUAGGUUAGCAUAUAUGCAAGCGAAAGAUUUUUAGCAGA